UACGAAGGGGGCUAGCGUUGUUCGGAUUUACUGGGCGUAAAGCGCCCGUAGGCGGAUUGUUAAGUGAGGGGUGAAAUCCUGGAGCUCAACUCCAGAACUGCCUUUCAUACUGGCAAUCUAGAGUCCGGAAGAGGUAAGUGGAACUCCUAGUGUAGAGGCGGAAUUCGUAGAUAUUAGGAAGAACACCAGUGGCGAAGGCGGCUUACUGGUCCGGUACUGACGCUGAGGUGCGAAAGCGUGGGGAGCAAACAGG
rnacentral:rRNA from 1 species